rnacentral:rRNA from 1 species
AUGAACGCUAGCGACAGGCUUAACACAUGCAAGUCGAGGGGUAACAGGGUAGCAAUACCGCUGACGACCGGCGCACGGGUGAGUAACGCGUAUGCAACCUGCCUAUAACUGGGGAAUAGCUCCCUGAAAGGGGAAUUAACACCGCAUAAUACUAUUGAUUCGCAUGGAUUAGUAGUUAAAUGUAGCGAUACAGGUUAUAGAUGGGCAUGCGAGACAUUAGCUAGUUGGUGAGGUAACGGCUCACCAAGGCUACGAUGUCUAGGGGUUCUGAGAGGAAGGUCCCCCACACUGGUACUGAGACACGGACCAGACUCCUACGGGAGGCAGCAGUGAGGAAUAUUGGUCAAUGGGCGCAAGCCUGAACCAGCCAUGUCGCGUGCAGGAAGACUGCCCCCUAUGGGUUGUAAACUGCUUUUAUAGUAGAAGAAACACAUCUACGUGUAGAUGUCUGCCAGUAUACUAUGAGUAAGCAUCGGCUAACUCCGUGCCAGCAGCUGC